AGCAGUCGCCGCGGUAAUACGAAGGGGGCUAGCGUUGCUCGGAAUCACUGGGCGUAAAGGGUGCGUAGGCGGGUCUUUAAGUCAGAGGUGAAAUCCUGGAGCUCAACUCCAGAACUGCCUUUGAUACUGGAGAUCUCGAGUUCGGGAGAGGUGAGUGGAACUGCGAGUGUAGAGGUGAAAUUCGUAGAUAUUCGCAAGAACACCAGUGGCGAAGGCGGCUCACUGGCCCGAUACUGACGCUGAGGCACGAAAGCGUGGGGAGCAAACAGGAUUAGAUACCCCAGUAGUCCCUGUCUCUUAUAA
rnacentral:rRNA from 1 species